AGUGAGCAUGGCCAGGGAUCGAACACGCCACCUCAGUUCCUAGUCGGGUUCAAUUCUGCUGUGCAACCACAGGAACGCCUUGAUGCUUCUUUCUAACUUUUCCCCAUCCUUUUGGGGGAACGAGAUUCUGGAAGUAGCAACGAGGAGGGACCCAGUGGUUUUCCAUCUUGACCUCAUUCUUGCUGGAUCUGGAUCUUCUCUGCAGCCCACCCCUUCCUCUGCCCUGAGCUCUCCUCAGCCCAGUGCCGGCUCCAAUCCAAGCCCAUGCAUUUCGAAAGCAGAGUCUGAUAGACUCACAGCAGCGGGAAUCUAGGGCCAGAAGCGCAGGAGCAUCUUUCUUGAGGAGAGAAAGAGCGCUGCGUGGGGUGAGCAGACUGACUGGUUUGGCAGGGAGAGGACAUCAGCCCUUGUGAGGAAAGGGCAGGCGGCCCUGAUGUCACCGGGAAUGGACGUUGUGCUGGAGCUGCCACCAGACAGCACAUGGCCCGAGGUCACACGAGUGAAGGUACUGUCCCUAGAAGAGGGAGGGGCUGUGCACUGAUCCGUCACUCAACUCUGUUGAACGGGUAUUUGUUGUGCGCCAGACACAGGACACACGCUUUCGGCAUCUGAGAAACCUCAGGGACGUCGCCAGAGACCAAACUUGUCGGCCGUGUGGAGUCUCUGUCCUGGGGGAGGGGCAGAGUGGACACUAUAUACCUCGUCAGGGAGGGACGUGUCACAUCGGAGAUGUGGCGUUUGUAAGAUGGUUUGACAGAAGAUCAGGCUGGAGUGAGUGCUCUCUAGAAGCAUCGGUCUGGCUGCUGCACAGACUCAGGAGGGGAAGGCGAGCGACACCGUCAAAGAAGGAAACAGAGCAGCGUCCAGGCUGGUGGAGAUGCUGCUGGUCGGGGGCGAGAGCAGGGAAUGGACGAGUCAGUGACUGGAGUCUCGACACGUUCUCAGGAUGGAUUUAGAGCAUUUCCUCCUGGAUCAAAUCUGGACUGUGAGAAAGCAGAAAGAAGGAUGGCACCCCAAACUUGAGACUGUGCAAGUUGGCCUGUGGAAAUGGGGAGAUUCUGGGAGUUCCCGUCGUAGCGCAGUGGUUAACGAAUC